rnacentral:tRNA from 1 species
GGAGAGGUGCAAGAGUGGUUGAAUUGGCACGCCUGGAAAGCGUGUAUACCGCAAGGUAUCGAGGGUUCGAAUCCCUCUCUCUCCGCAA